ACAUACUUAUCGUUGUUUCCUCGGACCGCCCCGGUGCCUUCGGGCCCGGACUCAGGGGCCCGCCGGGGGACCCAAACUCUUGUAUUUCUUUAGUAUCUUCUGAGUAAACAAGCUAAUAAAUUAAAACUUUCAACAACGGAUCUCUAGGUUCUGGCAUCGAUGAAGAACGCAACGAAAUGCGAUAAGUAAUGUGAAUUGCAAAAAUCCAAGAAUCAUCAAAUCUUUGAACGCACAUUGCGCCCGCCAGUAUUCUGGCGGGCAUGCCUGUUCGAGCGUCAUUUCAACCCUCAAGCCCCCGGGCUUGGUGUUGGGGCUCGGCCCGUCCCUAGCGGCGCGCCAUCCCCCAAAUCUAGUGGUGGUCACGCUGUACUCCUCUGCGUAGUAAUCUAACCUCUCAACGUGGACAAAGCGCGGCCACGCCAUUUAACCCCCAACUUCUGAAGGUUGACCUCGGAUCAGGUAGGAAUACCCGCUGAACUUAAGCAUAUCAAUAAGCGGAGGA
rnacentral:rRNA from 1 species